rnacentral:rRNA from 1 species
AGAGCGAACGCUGGCGGCAGGCUUAACACAUGCAAGUCGAGCGGGCGUAGCAAUACGUCAGCGGCAGACGGGUGAGUAACGCGUGGGAACAUACCUUUUGGUUCGGAACAACACAGGGAAACUUGUGCUAAUACCGGAUAAGCCCUUACGGGGAAAGAUUUAUCGCCGAAAGAUUGGCCCGCGUCUGAUUAGCUAGUUGGUGAGGUAACGGCUCACCAAGGCGACGAUCAGUAGCUGGUCUGAGAGGAUGAUCAGCCACAUUGGGACUGAGACACGGCCCAAACUCCUACGGGAGGCAGCAGUGGGAAUAUUGGACAAUGGGCGCAAGCCUGAUCCAGCCAUGCCGCGUGAGUGAUGAAGGCCCUAGGGUUGUAAAGCUCUUUUGUGCGGGAAGAUAAAUGACGGUACCGACAAGAAUAAGCCCCGGAUAACUUCGUGCCAGCAGCCGC